rnacentral:lncRNA from 1 species
UUUAUUCUAUCCAUAAAUUCUUUGCCUAAGCGCUCUUCAACGCCUUUCUCCAAAUUAAAUCGACCAGAAAGGUUAACCACCAUGGGGACAUCAUUGUAGAUAGAGGCAUACAGAACCACCACAUCUCCACCUGAGGAAAAACAAUAAACUUAACGAAAUAAUGACUGGUAUUUUAAAAUUUGCUAGACUAUUGAAGGUAAUGCCAGAAGGAUGGCCAGGUGGCUAGUGGCUACAGCUUGCUUUGGGAGAUACAAGGAUGAGCCUUUUUAUUCUUUCUUGUUUGUUUCAAAGGAUAACAGACCCCCUCCUAUUAAAGAAGAGUCCUUAACAAACAGAGCCUUGAUAUGUCCUAACUGAUUGCCAUUUGAUUGCAGCUGCACUUUUCGAUUUCUGAAACCUGAGUAAUGCGGUGCAUGAUUAUACACAAAUAUACUGGAGAUUUUCUCCACGUAUGACCCCUAUAUUAGAUUGCAUAUGCAAGUUCUUGUUCAAGUGUUCAAGGAAUGAACAAAUUCUUUUGAGCACUUGGCUAGCCAAUGAUACAAAUUCAAUUGAACAGCAUAAUAACACAAACAAUAAAUUGCAUGAUUAUAAUAAACCAAACUACGAUUAUAACCCACCUUUGCUGUGACCAACAAUAGCUGCUACAUCAAAAUUCUCCUGGAAAAGAUAUGAAACAACAGAAUGCAGGUCAUCAGCCUCCUUCCUGUAGUUACCGUACUGGAAUUCACCUUCGCUUUCCCUGAAAAGCAUAAGAUCAAAGGCAUCAUAUGAAAUAAGGGUAAGGUGAUGGACCAUGGUAGUUCAAAAUUGAAUAGAUUCUGCAAAAUAAUGCAGUGUACAAUACAAAUUCAAACAAUUGAAUGCAACAAAGAAUAUUAAAACAGGAAUUAGUAAUAUGCACUAUGGUUAUUUCCCUGAAAAAUAACGCAGGUCUAAUAAAAAAUAAUCACAAACCCAAGCAGUAAUGUGGUAAUACAUACAAUUAGGAAACUUAGCUAAUUUAGUUCAACAUUUCCAACCCAAGGCUUCCUUAGAAAAUUAAAAGCAAUUGAUGGAAGGGACAAUCCAUUAGUGACUUACCCAUUUCCACUGAAAUCAAAGCGAAACACACUAAUCCCUUGCUUUGUUAUUGCAGCUGCAAGAUCAACAAUGAUUCCAUCGUCCUGAAAACGAGCACUAAAUUUCAUUACAUCCGUAACAAUUGCACAUUCCUACAAAAAAAAGUUUAAUUCUCUACAGCUAGCAUAACGAAACAUGUUAAUUAACUUGGAAACAUGUUAAUUAACUUGGCAAGCCAUGUCCUCAGAGACGAAAGCCAACUUUUGUUUUUCAGAUGAUGAAUGGCGUACUCGUGUACCUUGGAAGCCGUAAAGCCAUGGCAGAGCACUACAACUUUGUUCGAACCCGUGUGGUGCAGCAGGCCCACGAGAUUCUCCCCGUGCUUGUUCGUCACCAGUACUCUCUGCUCCGGAGCAGCUGUUCAGAAACCAAACGACAUGAAUUCAAUAAUUAAGAGGCAGGAUAUGUUCUACUUCGCCCCCAUCUCUACAGCGAAGUGUUACUGGCAAUCAGAAUUCAGAGCAAGCGGUAGUGAUAUAAGAUCAGGGAAGAGAGGCGUUCACGGGGAUUGGACGCGUCUUGGGAUGAGCUGAACGGCUCCGC